UUGGCAGUAAAAAUCUUUUGAAUUAAGAUUUUAAGUGUUAUUAACUCAGAAUUUCCAUUUAUUUAAAUUAUUCGUACGUCUCUGUUUAAAAAUGAUUGGUCGCGCUUGAAAUUCUGCCUUGACAACAGCGCCGAUUGGCCAAUAUAACACAAGGCGGGAAUUUUUUUGUCGAAUUUGCUGAAGACGCAGCACUGACUGCGGUUCACAAUCAUUUGCAGGAACACCUGAAAGAAGAAAUAAAUAAUACAGUUUAAAGUUAAAUAGCGGGCCAGCUGCACAAGCAGCCAGACAGGCGUUAAAGCAGGCGGGAAGAGAGUCGUCGUGAAAGACCCAGAGUACGCUGGGACAGUAACAUUAGCAGGCAGGUGGUUAUGAAGCAGACGAGGAGGGGGAAGAGUCGAGGCCACAGGAGUAACGUUACGCUGCUAUCAGAGCCAACUGAAACUGAACUUUGGUGCUUCAAGGACUACCCCUUUGGUUUGGAGAUGACUCCUGCUUUCUUUAAGAUGUCUUUGAUGUCCGAUGAUCACCGCUCAAUUCUUUAUGUGCCAGUGGGGAUUUUGAUAGUUGAAGAUGGGACAAGAUGGGUCUCCCUCUUCGAUUGGAAUCGUAAUCGAGGGAAAAUUAGUGAUGGACAAUCUACAUGACCUUCCUGAAAAAGCAAUGUGCCUUCUGUUCGGACUUCUAUAUGCAUAGCACCUGAGUCACCCAAAGUCACUGGGAUACAUGUUUGACUUCAUUCAGCGGAUUCUACUUUCCUUGGGGCAGAAAGACCUCCAGCCUAAAACACAGUCGUUGGCAAACCAGCUGUUUGGCUAAAAUCGAGAAAUUGCUUGGCGCACUUUUAAUUGCAACACAUUUACAUUAAACAUGGUCUUUUGAAAAUGAGACUUAAAAAUAUGAGCUUAAUGUUUUUUUUUUUUUUUUAUGUGAGUGUAAUGUUCUGUAAAAAUGUAAGCUUACUGUUAAACAUGAGCUCAAUAUUUUAAUGUGACUUAAAAAUGCAGCUUGCUGUUAAAAAUAUGAGCUACUGUUUUCUAAAAAUGUGAGCUUAAGUGCUGUUCAAGUGUCUAAAUGUGACUUAAAAAUAUGAGCUUGAUAUUAGUAAUGUUUCUUAAAUUAAUGUAAGUGUAUAAACCAAAUAAAGCUGUUAAUGGAAAAACAAUAUUUCUAUUAAAUCAUUAAAACAA